UACGGGGGGGGCAAGCGUUGUUCGGAAUUACUGGGCGUAAAGGGCUUGUAGGCGGCCAACUAAGUCAUACGUGAAAUCCCUCGGCUUAACCGGGGAACUGCGUCUGAUACUGGAUGGCUUGAGAUUGGGAGAGGGAUGCGGAAUUCCAGGUGUAGCGGUGAAAUGCGUAGAUAUCUGGAGGAACACCGGUGGCGAAGGCGGCAUCCUGGACCGGUAUUGACGCUGAGGCGCGAAAGCUAGGGGAGCAAACGGG
rnacentral:rRNA from 1 species